rnacentral:rRNA from 1 species
GAUGAACGCUGGCGGCGUGCCUAAUACAUGCAAGUCGAGCGAACAGACGAGGAGCUUGCUCCUCUGACGUUAGCGGCGGACGGGUGAGUAACACGUGGAUAACCUACCUCUACGACUGGGAUAACUUCGGGAAACCGGAGCUACUACCGGAUAAUAUAUUGAACCGCAUGGUUCAAUAGUGAAAGACGGUUUUGCUUUCACUUAUAGAUUGAUCCGCGCCGCAUUAGCUAGUUGGUAAGGUAACGGCUUACCAAGGCAACGAUGCGUAGCCGACCUGAGAGGGUGAACGGCCACACGGGAACUGAGAAACGGUCCAGACUCCUACGGGAGGCAGCAGUAGGGAAUCUUCCGCAAUGGGCGAAAGGGUGACGGAGCAACGCCGCGUGAGGGAUGAAGGUCUUCGGAUCGUAAAACGCUGUUAGUAGGGAAGAACAAAUGUGUAAGUAACUAUGCACGUCUUGACGGUACCUAAUCAGAAAGCCACGGCUAACUACGUG